rnacentral:rRNA from 1 species
AUACGUAGGGUGCAAGCGUUAAUCGGAAUUACUGGGCGUAAAGCGUGCGCAGGCGGUUUUGUAAGACAGAGGUGAAAUCCCCGGGCUCAACCUGGGAACUGCCAUUGUGACUGCAAGGCUGGGGCGCGGCAGAGGGGGGUGGAAUUCUGCGCGUAGCAGUGAAAUGCGUAGAUAUGCGGAGGAACACCGAUGGCGAAGGCAAUCCCCUGGGCCUGCACUGACGCUCAUGCACGAAAGCGUGGGGAGCAAACAGGAUUAGAUACCCUGGUAGUCCACGCCCUAAACGAUGUCAACUGGUUGUUGGGGAUUUAUUUUCUCAGUAACGAAGCUAACGCGUGAAGUUGACCGCCUGGGGAGUACGGCCGCAAGGUUAAAACUCAAAUGAAUUGGCGGGG